rnacentral:miRNA from 1 species
CGCGUCUUGUUCUACUCACC